CUUUUGCGUUAAGCAUUGAAGCGGCAUCUUUUUGGUGCAACGGUUUGUAAAACCUGUUUGCUUAACCAAAAAAUACAGCAAAAAGCCUGGCCAUUU
rnacentral:misc_RNA from 1 species